rnacentral:rRNA from 2 species
GCAGUCGAGCGAACAGAUAAGGAGCUUGCUCCUUUGACGUUAGCGGCGGACGGGUGAGUAACACGUGGGUAACCUACCUAUAAGACUGGGAUAACUUCGGGAAACCGGAGCUAAUACCGGAUAACAUUUGGAACCGCAUGGUUCUAAAGUGAAAGAUGGUUUUGCUAUCACUUAUAGAUGGACCCGCGCCGUAUUAGCUAGUUGGUAAGGUAACGGCUUACCAAGGCGACGAUACGUAGCCGACCUGAGAGGGUGAUCGGCCACACUGGAACUGAGACACGGUCCAGACUCCUACGGGAGGCAGCAGUAGGGAAUCUUCCGCAAUGGGCGAAAGCCUGACGGAGCAACGCCGCGUGAGUGAUGAAGGGUUUCGGCUCGUAAAACUCUGUUAUUAGGGAAGAACAAAUGUGUAAGUAACUGUGCACGUCUUGACGGUACCUAAUCAGAAAGCCACGGCUAACUACGUGCCAGCAGCCGCGGUAAUACGUAGGUGGCAAGCGUUAUCCGGAAUUAUUGGGCGUAAAGCGCGCGUAGGCGGUUUCUUAAGUCUGAUGUGAAAGCCCACGGCUCAACCGUGGAGGGUCAUUGGAAACUGGGAAACUUGAGUGCAGAAGAGGAAAGUGGAAUUCCAUGUGUAGCGGUGAAAUGCGCAGAGAUAUGGAGGAACACCAGUGGCGAAGGCGACUUUCUGGUCUGUAACUGACGCUGAUGUGCGAAAGCGUGGGGAUCAAACAGGAUUAGAUACCCUGGUAGUCCACGCCGUAAACGAUGAGUGCUAAGUGUUAGGGGGUUUCCGCCCCUUAGUGCUGCAGCUAACGCAUUAAGCACUCCGCCUGGGGAGUACGACCGCAAGGUUGAAACUCAAAGGAAUUGACGGGGACCCGCACAAGCGGUGGAGCAUGUGGUUUAAUUCGAAGCAACGCGAAGAACCUUACCAAAUCUUGACAUCCUUUGAAAACUCUAGAGAUAGAGCCUUCCCCUUCGGGGGACAAAGUGACAGGUGGUGCAUGGUUGUCGUCAGCUCGUGUCGUGAGAUGUUGGGUUAAGUCCCGCAACGAGCGCAACCCUUAAGCUUAGUUGCCAUCAUUAAGUUGGGCACUCUAGGUUGACUGCCGGUGACAAACCGGAAGGAAGGUGGGGGAUGACGUCAAAUCAUCAUGCCCCUUAUGAUUUGGGCUACACACGUGCUACAAUGGACAAUACAAAGGGCAGCUAAACCGCGAGGUCAUGCAAAUCCCAUAAAGUUGUUCUCAGUUCGGAUUGUAGUCUGCAACUCGACUACAUGAAGCUGGAAUCGCUAGUAAUCGUAGAUCAGCAUGCUACGGUGAAUACGUUCCCGGGUCUUGUACACACCGCCCGUCACACCACGAGAGUUUGUAACACCCGAAGCCGGUGGAGUAACC